UGGGGGAUAUUGCACAAUGGGCGAAAGCCUGAUGCAGCGACGCCGCGUGGGGGAUGAAGGCUUUCGGGUUGUAAACCUCUUUCGCUAUCGAACAAGGCCCGCUUAGGGUGGGUGGAGGGUAGGUGGAGAAGAAGCGCCGGCUAACUACGUGCCAGCAGCCGCGGUAAUACGUAGGGCGCGAGCGUUGGCCGGAAUUAUUGGGCGUAAAGGGCUUGUAGGCGGCUUGUUGCGCCUGCUGUGAAAACGCGGGGCUUAACUUCGCGCGUGCAGUGGGUACGGGCAGGCUUGAGUGUGGUAGGGGUGACUGGAAUUCCAGGUGUAGCGGUGGAAUGCGCAGAUAUCUGGAGGAACACCGAUGGCGAAGGCAGGUCACUGGGCCAUUACUGACGCUGAGGAGCGAAAGCAUGGGUAGCGAACAGG
rnacentral:rRNA from 1 species